GCUCGAUAGGUGACGAAUAGCGAAGUCGUUGGGAAGCUAGAAUGAGUACGAGCGAUCGUUUCACGCCGUCGUCUCGUAGCGGGGCCCCACUGAGCAACGACUCAGACCGACCGCGUCACAGGCAGCGACGCUCGAGCGACAGAAGCGACGUUUCGGGGCGCAGGGUGACAAUACGAGAACUAAAGUUGGAACUGAUGAAGAAAAGUCAACUGAACGAGCAACUGCAAGCAGACUACGACAAAACUCUUCAAAGAUUAGCCGAAGCCGAGCUGACAAUCGACCAACUGAAAUUCGGAGUGCAGACACAAGUGAGCAAGACGGUCUACUACACGUUGAAAGAGAAGAGUCAACGCAGAGAAUCGAGAGAAGGAGAGAGACGGAGUGAGAGUCCGGUCGCCAUGGCAACGAGAGAUUCGGCCAACUAGCCUCGAAGUUCCACACCGUCUUUCGCGUUUUGGAACUUCGAGGCUAGCGGUCAACCAAACUACAGUUGCUCAGCUUGUCGGAGGAUGUAACCAGCAUGUUGACUGCUGCACGCAGUCAGAGGGCGAACGUGGAGAGCACACAGAUGGGCUUGUUGUUUCAGACGAGGACGUUGCAGGAUUGACUGGAUCAGACUCAGGAGGGGAUGAAGGGGGUACAGGGAAGAAGAGGGGACAGGGAUGAAGGGGGACAGGGAUGAAGGGGACAGGGAUGGGUGUCGAUGUUGUCGCCGAGUUGCAGAGGAUAGGGGACGAGGUGAAGAAGAUAGAGCAAUAGAUGGUGAAUGUGAAGAAAAGUCAGGAGAAGCUUUAUGAGAUGAGAGGAUCAUUUAAAGGUGAUGUUAGGAGAAACUCAAGAAGCCAUACGACAGCAAGAAUCACAGACACCAGAGCCAGUAGCAAUAGAGGAAGCAACACAACAUGUGGAGAUAUCCUUACCACAGCAUAUAACAUUGCAAGAUGUGAUGGACAGGUGGGGAUGAUUGAUGGUUGAUGGACAGACAGACAGACAGAUAGACGGACAGAUGGACACACACACACACACACACACACACACACACACACACACACACACACACACACACACACACACUUAUCUGUCACAUUGACACACAUCACAUCUUGUGUUAUGUAUUGACAACAUGAUGAGUCUUGAAGAGCAGCAGAGGCUCAACCCAAUGCCUGGAGUUGCAGUCAAAAUCAGGCAACUAUGACAGGCAGUCAAACAGCUACAUAGUGAUGUAUCACACAGACGCAAAGGAACACAAACAGCAACACGUGAUGUAGCUCAUCGUGAAGGUUCCGUUGCAUCUCAUCUCAGCAGCAGUGACACAUCAACAUCAUCCCAUCAUUCAUCUACCCGCCCGACGGAAGGUGCAAUACAAACACAACCGACACUCAUGUGAAUACCUCUCACAAAGCGGCGGUUUCCUCGUAACGAACGAGACACAAACCGACAAUCAGAGAAGGUCACCAAUAGUCAGUCGCCUACGGCAACCACAAGCCUAUAGACAUUCCACCAAGUUGCCUGGCAUGAGUGGGCAUGUCUCUCCGAGUUCAAUCUCGACUAACCAAUCAAAGCAGUCAGACGUAGCAUCUCGCUCUCGUACUCACAUGUAGAGUGAAGAACCUCACAGUUGGAGUCAAUCGAGUGAUGAAUGCCAUCGGAGAUGUUUACCAAACAGACACGCCCACACAUCGGAUUCUCAGUCGUAUCAAUACGAUGCAAACAUGUCGCCUUUAGUGCCUCAUGCACACGACACACAACCAACAAGCCAAAGUCACACAAAAUCUCAAACCGAGACGGAACGACAAACUGUUGGUGUUCAAGCAUUGCUGUAUGUGCCACAGCCGUCGCGUAUCCCACGGCUCUCGUCGCAUUGGAAGAAGCUGCCCAACCGUCCCGGACUUGGUGAUUCGUUUGAUAGAGACAGUGGCUUUGUUGGGUCGUCUGUGCAGCCGAAAGACGAGCAACAACGUGCAACGACGUCCACAACUCACUCGAGUGUGUCUACUCAAGCGAAGAAUAUGGAGGAAGAGAGCGAUCUGGUGAGUGAGACGGAGAUGGUGCAGCCAAGUGUGACUCGUUAUGAAUACGUACAACAGCCACCAGUGUUUGUGCCUUCACAGUUUCCGGUUCAGUAUUUUGGGUAUCCGGGUGUGGGAGAUGGGGAUGGUUGUGAACAGAGAGAAACGGCCACAGCUAGUUGUACAGACUGAUCCAUUGAUGAGGUUGUUGCUGCGACUUCAAGGAAGUCUCUCAACUUCUACUCUCAUCCGACGGCGACGUCAAUCUUUGUGACUACGAGGAAAACUUGCCGGUGGAUGUCGCCAGUAGCAACGCAGUGAAGCAGCUCGUGUCUCAAUGACUGUCACUCUGACACCUACGUUCUGCCAAAAGUCGUCUUCUAACUGUACUGCAGGAAAUAGCAACGUCAGCCUCCUGAUGCCGCUGAAAGGAUAGCUGUCUCGACGUCUUUCGCCUGUUCUCAAUAGCAAGGCGCUUCAACAUCCUGUCCUGACGUGCAGAUGUUUUUCUUUUUCUACCAGGACGUGUUGCCUAACUAGCUAGUCGCUGCUACCGUUUGACAGCGUCUGCAGGCAUUGAUAACUGCUGUCUUCGAUCUUCCCACUGGCGUGACAGCAGGCCGACGAUUGGUAUGGCCUACAGAAUGCAGCGCUUCGAUCUUCCUCUGGUAAUGGGACUGAGCUGUUUUCCUCUUGGCAUUACAGCAACUCACAGCAAACGAGCGAAACGAAACUAACUUGUGAAAUGAAUUCAGCUGAAAAUAGACUAGCAGAUGACAUUAGAAGUUACAGGCUUUUACUCUAGAGUUUUGGCAGAACGUAGGUUGACUGUUUGUAAACACCGGAAAUGGCUAAUUAGUAACAUUUUCUAACAUUUAGAGGUUACUUGCAAUGUUCCGACGCUGAUUCUUUUACUGAAAAGAUAAGCAACAACCUUUCUAAUAGUACAAUGCCUAAAACUGUCAGACAAGACUCCCAAAUCUAAAUUGGAGCA